rnacentral:rRNA from 1 species
GACAGAGGGUGCAAACGUUGUUCGGAAUUACUGGGCGUAAAGCGUGUGUAGGCGGCUUGGCAAGUCGGAUGUGAAAGCCCCGGGCUCAACCCGGGAAGUGCACUCGAUACUGCCGAGCCUUGAGUAUCGGAGGAGGUGGGUGGGAAUUCUCGGUGUAGCGGUGAAAUGCGUAGAUAUCAGGAGGAACACCGGUGGUGUAGACGGCUAUCUGGACCGUAACUGACGCUGAGGCACGAAAGCGUGGGUAGCAAACAGG